rnacentral:lncRNA from 1 species
AAAUGGACGUUUUUCCCCUUUAAGUGAAUUAGAGUUAACUUGGCUAUUCUCCUCCCUCUAAUUGAGGGAAAGGCCCCCUGCUUUCCCCAUCACAGGGAGAGGGCGGAGCAUUCUCUGAGAAGCUUGGAUGUGAGCUGUGCCUGCCCAGUCUUGGAGGAGGGGCUGCAUUUCAUGAGGCUGCAGCUGACAAGAAGCUUCAAGCCUAAAGUAAUGUCAGAGAUGCACAUGACCUUGAGAAUCUGCAUGUGAUGCCACUUGAGCCCCAGAAAGGCAGGGCCAUCACAGAAGUGCUGAGCAGGGAGAAAGCUCUGCGGGACAAGCAGUUGGAGUGAGAAUCAAGACAACUGGAAUACAGGGCCAGACCCUCCACAAGCCACGUGCCAUUGGGAAGGGGCCUUCUGUCUUUCCCAUCACAGAGAGGGGGUGGAGCAUUCUCUGAGAAGCUUGCAAGUGAGCUGUGCCUGGCCGGUCUUGGGGGAGGAGCUGCAUUUCACCAGGCUGCAGCUGACAAGAAGCUUCAAGCCUGUCUCCUUUUGGAGUGAGAAUCAAGACAACCGGAUCACAGGACCAGACCCUCCAUGAUCCACGUGACAUUGGGUAAGGCUUUUCUCAUUUCACGAAGCAUUUUACAUUAAAAAUUAGAGUAUAAUUUAUUUUCCUUCCUGCUCUGCAGCCAUAGCAUUUUAAAUUUAAAGCCACUUUUGAUAUUAAAAUCACAGUAAGUUGAAAAAUGGAGGCAUAAUUUAUUUUGCUCCUUGUUCUAUAGCCAUAAUGUUUUGUAAUGAAAAGUCAUAGCUUGUAGUUUGGGGGGAAAAAUCUCAUGUGUUAGGGCCCAGCACGGUGGCACAGCGGAUGAGCUCGCACAUUCUGCUUCGGCAGCCCAGGGUCCGCUAGUUCAGAUCCCAGGUGCAGACCUAUGCACCGCUUGUCAAGCCAUGCUGUGG